rnacentral:rRNA from 1 species
GACGAACGCUGGCGGCAUGCCUAACACAUGCAAGUCGAACGGAGAUUACUUCGGUAAUCUUAGUGGCGAACGUGUGAGUAACGCGUGUGCAACCUGCCCUCUAGAUGCGGACAGCAUCCCGAACUGGGUGCUAAUACCGUAUGUGACAGCAAUCUCGCAUGCGGUUGCUUUGACAGAUGGCCUCUUUUUUUAAUCUAUCGCUAGAGGAUUAGCCUGCGUCUGAUUGGCUAGUUGGGGGGGUAACUGCCUACCAAGGCGAGGAUCAGUAGCCGGUCUGAGAGGAGGAGAGGCAAAAUUGGGACUGAGACACGGUCCAGACUACUAGGGGAGGGAGCAGUGGGGAAUCCUCAGCAAUGGGAGAAAGCGUGACGGAGCAAUGCCGGGUGAGUGAUGAAGGAAUUAGUGCCGUAAAGCUGUUGUGGGUAUGACGAUUGUAAAGAUUGUAAAUAAUAAUUGGUAAUGACGGUAGUAAACGAAUAAGCUACGGCUAACUACGUG